GAUGAACGCUGGCGGCGUGCCUAAUACAUGCAAGUCGAGCGAACAGAUGAGGAGCUUGCUCCUCUGACGUUAGCGGCGGACGGGAGAGUAACACGUGGAUAACCUACCUAUAAGACUGGGAUAACUUCGGGAAACCGGAGCUAAUACCGGAUAAGAUACUGAACCGCAUGGUUCAAUAGAGAAAGACGGCUUUUGUGUCUCUUAUAGAUGGAUCUGCGCCGCAUUAGCUAGUUGGUAAGGUAACGGCUUACCAAGGGAACGAUGCGUAGCCGACCUGAGAGGGUGAUCGGCCACACUGGAACUGAGACACGGUCCAGACUCCUACGGGAGGCAGCAGUAGGGAAUCUUCGGCAAUGGGCGAAAGCUUGACGGAGCAACGCCGCGUGAGUGAUGAAGGUCUUCGGAUCGUAAAACUCUGUUAUUAGGGAAGAACAAAUGUGUAAGUAACUAUGCACGUCUUGACGGUACCUAAUCAGAAAGCCACGGCUAACUACGUG
rnacentral:rRNA from 1 species